CAGCAUUUCGCUAGCAAUAGUGAAGAUGGCGACCGGCGCACGGGUGAGUAACGCGUAUGCAACUUACCUAUCAGAGGGGAUAGCCCGGCGAAAGUCGGAUUAAUACCCCAUAAAACAGGGGUCCCGCAUGGGAAUAUUUGUUAAAGAUUCAUCGCUGAUAGAUAGGCAUGCGUUCCAUUAGGCAGUUGGCGGGGUAACGGCCCACCAAGACUACGAUGGAUAGGGGUUCUGAGAGGAAGGUCCCCACAUUGGGACUGAGACACGGCCCAGACUCC
rnacentral:rRNA from 1 species